rnacentral:tRNA from 1 species
AUUUAAAUAGUUUAAUAAAAACAUUGGUCUUGUAAACCAAAAUUGAAAAAUUUUUUUUUUAAAUA